AGAUACACUGUGUAUAAGAAAGCAUUGACAGUGUUGACCAGGGUCCAGAAUUGUCCGUGGGGCUGAAUUGAGACACAGGUUGCGUUUUCAUCACAGUAAAUGUAUUGCAGUGGUGACAAUGAGAGCUGUAACGUUU